AGAGUUUGAUCAUGGCUCAGGACGAACGCUGGCGGCGUGCUUAACACAUGCAAGUCGAACGAUGAAGCCCAGCUUGCUGGGUGGAUUAGUGGCGAACGGGUGAGUAACACGUGGGUGAUCUGCCCUGCACUCUGGGAUAAGCCUGGGAAACUGGGUCUAAUACCGGAUAUGACCUCUUGCUGCAUGGCGAGGGUGGAAAGUUUUCGGUGCAGGAUGAGCCCGCGGCCUAUCAGCUUGUUGGUGGGGUAAUGGCCUACCAAGGGCGACGACGGGUAGCCGGCCUGAGAGGGCGACCGGCCACACUGGGACUGAGACACGGCCCAGACUCCUACGGGAGGCAGCAGUGGGGAAUAUUGCACAAUGGGCGAAGGCCUGAUGCAGCGACGCCGCGUGAGGGAUGACGGCCUUCGGGUUGUAAACCUCUUUCAGCAGGGACGAAGCGAAAGUGACGGCACCUGCAGAAGAAGCACCGGCCAACUACGUG
rnacentral:rRNA from 1 species